rnacentral:rRNA from 1 species
GAUGAACGCUGGCGGCGUGCUUAGCACAUGCAAGUCGAACGAAGCACCUUGGACAGAUUCUUCGGAUGAAGUCUUUGGCGACUGAGUGGCGGACGGGUGAGUAACGCGUGGGUAAACCUGCCUCAUACAGGGGGAUAACAGUUAGAAAUGGGCUGCUAAUACCGCAUAAGCGCACGGUACUGCAUGGGUACAGUGUGAAAAAACUCCGGUGGUAAUGAGAUGGAACCCCGCG